AAGGAGGAAGUCGAAAAUCCGCGAUAAAAAUAGAGUAGACA
rfam:Reichenbachiella agariperforans strain DSM 26134 genome assembly, contig: Ga0070003_101